GCAGCGAGCCGCUCUUUCCUCCUUUCCCUCGGGGUCUGGCGACCCAGGCCAGCAGGCGGCCGUCCGGAUGUGGGGCUGUGGGGCCCGUACCCUGCUGUGUUUGUGGGAGGUGCGGCUGGCAGGAUUCCUAGGAAGGAGACUGUCGAGCAGCAAUGCUGCCGCGGGGAAGAGCUUUGCGCCGCAGUGCUGGAACUGCGGCCGCUCGAGGGGAGCCGGGUGUGGGGAUGAGUUCUUCUGCGCACACUGCCGCGCGCUGCAGCCUCCUGACCCCACUCGGGACUUCUUCAGCCUCAUGAACUGCAACCGAUCCUUCAGGGUUGACAUCACAAAACUUCAGCACAGGUACCAGCAGCUACAGCGUCUUGUCCACCCAGAUUUCUUCAGCCAAAAGUCUCAGACUGAAAAGCACUUCUCGGAGAAGCAUUCCACCCUGGUGAAUGAUGCCUAUAAGACUCUUCAGGCUCCCCUGACCAGAGGACUAUAUCUUGUAAGCUAAAGCUCCAAGGAAUAGAAAUUCCUGAAGGGACAGAUUAUAAAACAGACAGUCAGUUCCUUGUGGAGAUCAUGGAAAUCAAUGAAAGACUCGCGGACGCCCAAAGUGAGGUCGCUAUGGAAGAGAUAGAAGCCUCUGUCAGAGCUAAACAGAAAGAAUUUACCGACAAUAUAAAUAGAGCUUUUGAACAAGGUGACUUUGAAAAAGCCAAGGAACUCCUAAUAAAGAUGAGAUACUUUUCAAACAUAGAAGAAAAGAUCAAGCUAAGCAAGACUCCUCUCUAGUUGCUAACUUAAAGUUUUAAAAAUAAACUUUGUAUUUCUUUUCUGGCUUCUGCUAAUUGGAAAUAGCUAUGAGGGCUGUGGCAUAGCUCAGGGAUAUAGCACUUGCUUAGCAUAUGGAAGCCUGUGGGUUUGAACCCUUUUCCCACAGAAAGUGAGGAGAAAGAGGCGAAGGGAAUAGAUAGGCUUUAACCAUUUAUGGGAUUUCAAUUCAGUUGAUAGCUCAGAUACUAAUGGCUGGCAAAGUGUGUAAUGCCUGUCAGAAAAGUGACACAGUAGGCACCUAGCCUAGGCUAGUGGAUGAGAGGGUGGGCUAGAGGCCAUUCUGUGAGCCAAAUAGACACCAUCUUCAAGAGUUCAGCUGUGCCAGCUUGGAAAAGGUCACCAUAGCUCAGCUUAUUAACUGUUGACAUUCCUUAGUAUCCAGUUGUUCUUCUCAGCCAGUGGCGUGCAAUUCUGCCCUAACUGCAUAUGACCUCCAGUUCUCUGGAGGGGGUAGAGUGUAUAGGUGGGGAGAGCUGAAGGAAGGGAGAAAGGGUCCACCUACACAGCCGUAGGAGCUUGGUCUGGUGCUGCUUGUAUUCAGAUACUAAAUUCUGUAUCCCAAGAUCUGGUUGCUCCAAGACGAGCAGAUCCUCAUGUAUACCAGCUUUUGUUGUGUAGACCUUGCCCCCCCAAGUUAUCCAAACUUGGUUAAUAAAGAUACCUACAGCCUGUAGCUAGGCAGACGGGACAUGGGCGGGGCCUCACAUCUGGGGCUUGGGAAGAAAGAAGUUGCAGUGGGGUCAGUGGAUUGUGAGCUCAUGGCUGUGAGAACAGUCCAGGUGUAACAUGGCAAGUGAUAUCGGGGAUAGACAAACAUAGAGGCCUGAUAUCUGUCCAGCUCUAAUGCCUUAAAAGAUGUGUGUGUCUUUUAUUUGGGAACUGUAUGAUCUAAGUAGGGUAAAGUCCACCAAAGUAACAUUUACAACGCACAGCCACGAGGGACUCGUUGUCCAUGCUGCGUGCUGACCUUCUUAAUGUACUGCUUUAGAGUCACCUACAAUCUCUGAAAACCUAAUAAACUCAUUGGUUCCCCAGGA